rnacentral:rRNA from 1 species
UACAGGGGGUGCAAACGUUGCUCGGAAUCAUUGGGCGUAAAGCGCACGUAGGCGGUUCGUUAUGUCGGAUGUGAAAGCCCUUGGCUUAACCGAGGAAGUGCAUCCGAAACUGGCGAGCUAGAGUACGAAAGAGGAUCGCGGAAUUCCCGGUGUAGAGGUGAAAUUCGUAGAUAUCGGGAGGAACACCGGUGGCGAAGGCGGCGAUCUGGGUCGAUACUGACGCUCAGGCGCGACAGCGUGGGGAUCAAACAGG